AAUAGUUAUCGAUUGUAUUCAUAUUUAAGAAACUCUUUAUUAUAUAGCAAAGAUGAAAAUCAAGCAUUUUACCUUCUUGUGUUUAUGUGCACUACUUUCUAUCUCUAUUGUUGCAAUUGAGUCUUCUGAAGAUGAGAAACAAUGUACAUAUGUAAAUAGUAGUCAUGUAAUCACAAUUUAUUAAUUUUUUUUAUAUAAAAUAAAAGUUUUGGUUUAUUUUCAGUUGGCGAAAUAGAAGAGUCGAAGACAAACAUUGGGAUAAAUUACAAUGUGUUUUGGCUAGUAUAUGGUGGAAACAAAAACAACGGUGCCACUAGGGGAAACGUCAUACCAUUUCCCAUCAACAAAAAACGGAACGGUUGUGGAAAUGUUAUACCCUUUCCUGGAUGUGGUGGCCGCGGUGGUAACGUUGUAGACUUUCCUGGUGGUAGAAAGGGGGGAGGUGGUGGUAAAAAAUAAAUAGACUUUUUUAUGGUGAAAAGGGAUGCAGUGGCAAGAUGAGUCGUAGUGGUAAAGGGCUUGACGCUAGAAAACGGUGGAGUUGGAAAAGGUAUGGAUUUUCAAAAACGGUGUCACUAAUGGUCCAUUUAAAUUAAGGUAAAUGUGUUUUUUGGUAAAAAUUUGUAAUCUUAUCUUAUAUGAGAAAAGUUUGAAAAUGAAUUAGGUUUUUCUCUUAUGACAAUAAAAACAUAUUUUCAUAUGUGUUAGAUGUUCACCUUAUAAUUAUUUGCUAUUAUUUUCAGUGAUUUUAUGUGUAUUUGUAAAAUAGUUAUUAUUAUGACAUUUUUGUGCGCAAUUCAUAAUAAGUGUGUGUGUGUGUAGUAUUUUUAAUUUCUUCUAAACCAUUAUUUUAUUUUAAUUAUUUAUAUUUAUUUAUGGAUAAAUAGGAAGGCCCUAAUAUGGCCCCUUUAUUUUUGGGUCAGUUACUAGUGAUGAAAUUAUCAUGGCCCUGCAUAUGAAUUGUUAACAAUUAAUCAAUCAUAUGGCUAUAUAUGAUUUAUGAUUCAACUACGUAUUUCAUAUGUAACACAACACAAUUCUCUUGUGCUUUAGCUUCGCAGAAAUUAAGAGGCACUUCAUUUUUUUUUUCUCAAACACAAAUUACGGCUCUGUGUUGAAAAGCACUAAAAGGAGAAACCACGGUGUCAAUGCGGGGAAAAGGCAAUAUCAAAAUAGAGAUGUCUCUUUAUUUUAAAUUGGAUAUAUCUAAGUAUUUUCCUAAUUCUCAAAAGGAUUCUUCAAAAAAAUAAAAUACUUUCUCCAUCACAAACAUUUUUAUAUCAUUUUUUUUUUGAGGUAAUUUUAUUCCUUCUAUUCUUUAGAGCAUCAACCUCACACCAAGUGUAAUCUACUUAACAUACAUCUAACAUUUAGGCCAUCUACAACAAUAGAACAAUGCAUAACCAGUCCAACAUCAUUUAGUUAAUAAAAAUUAAGAUGAAUAUUUAGCAUUCAACUAUUAAUUCACAAGUCCAAAGGAGAUGUUAUAAGAUUUCAAUAUGGAUUAGAAUUAAUAUGGAACUAAGGAAAACGUAGCACACACUAGAUACCAUGAAACUUUUUCAAAUAGUGAUCUCUAAGCAACAGAGAGCCUAACAUCGAUGUCUUCGGUUUUUUAAAUUUUGCAAUCAACUCAAAACACAUUUAUACAAAUACAUCUCGGUUUUUUAAAUUUUGGAUUGCAAUUUUUGUUGUAAGUUUUUUCAUUCAAGCCAAUUUUUUUUUUA
rnacentral:lncRNA from 1 species